UUUGCUAGCAACCAAAACGUACCCAAUAUGCAUAACCUUUGGCAUGCGAUCCAAAGGGCCGAGCUCCCACAGCUCCAAGCUGCCGCUGCCGCCCCGUAGGCUUGCGUCGGUGCCGUACGCGGUGCGCCGCCUCUCGCCAGAGUCCGUCGCAACCGGAGGUUCACCGUCAAGGCCGCCACGCCCCUGCCCUUCCUCCUCUCCCUUCCUUCUGUUCUUCUAUAUAUCUCCUCCUCACCUUCGAAGUUGUGUCUCCUUGGAACUGCAGCAGGCCAUGGAGAAGCUCAGCAACCGCCGUAGUCCAUCCGACUCGCCGGAGCCGCCUGUCGUACAGACAUCAUUUAAUGGCAACCAAAUCUGCA
rnacentral:lncRNA from 1 species